rnacentral:rRNA from 1 species
AGAGUUUGAUCCUGGCUCAGGACGAACUCUUGCGGCGUGCUUAACACAUGCAAGUCGAACGGAAAGGCCCUUCGGGGUACUCGAGUGGCGAACGGGUGAGUAACACGUGGGUGAUCUGCCCUGCACUUUGGGAUAAGCCUGGGAAACUGGGUCUAAUACCGAAUAUGACCACGCUCUUCGUGGGGUGUGGUGGAAAGCUUUUGCGGUGUGGGAUGGGCCCGCGGCCUAUCAGCUUGUUGGUGGGGUAAUGGCCUACCAAGGCGACGACGGGUAGCCGGCCUGAGAGGGUGACCGGCCACACUGGGACUGAGAUACCGCCCAGACUCCUACGGGAGGUAGCAGUGGGGAAUAUUGCACAAUGGGCGCAAGCCUGAUGCAGCGACGCCGCGUGAGGGAUGACGGCCUUCGGGUUGUAAACCUCUUUCACCAGGGACGAAGCGCAAGUGACGGUACCUGGAGAAGAAGCACCGGCCAACUACGUGCCAGCAGCCGCGGUAAUACGUAGGGUGCGAGCGUUGUCCGGAAUUACUGGGCGUAAAGAGCUCGUAGGUGGUUUGUCGCGUUGUUCGUGAAAACUCACAGCUUAACUGUGGGCGUGCGGGCGAUACGGGCAGACUAGAGUACUGCAGGGGAGACUGGAAUUCCUGGUGUAGCGGUGGAAUGCGCAGAUAUCAGGAGGAACACCGGUGGCGAAGGCGGGUCUCUGGGCAGUAACUGACGCUGAGGAGCGAAAGCGUGGGGAGCGAACAGGAUUAGAUACCCUGGUAGUCCCCGCCGUAAACGGUGGGUACUAGGUGUGGGUUCCUUCCUUGGGAUCCGUGCCGUAGCUAACGCAUAAAGUACCCCGCCUGGGGAGUACGGCCGCAAGGCUAAAACUCAAAGGAAUUGACGGGGGCCCGCACAAGCGGCGGAGCAUGUGGAUUAAUUCGAUGCAACGCGAAGAACCUUACCUGGGUUUGACAUGCACAGGACGCCGGCAGAGAUGUCGGUUCCCUUGUGGCCUGUGUGCAGGUGGUGCAUGGCUGUCGUCAGCUCGUGUCGUGAGAUGUUGGGUUAAGUCCCGCAACGAGCGCAACCCUUGUCCUAUGUUGCCAGCGGGUUAUGCCGGGGACCCGUAGGAGACCGCCGGGGUCAACUCGGAGGAAGGUGGGGAUGACGUCAAGUCAUCAUGCCCCUUAUGUCCAGGGCUUCACACGUGCUACAAUGGCCGGUACAAAGGGCUGCGAUGCCGUGAGGUGGAGCGAAUCCUUUCAAAGCCGGUCUCAGUUCGGAUCGGGGUCUGCAACUAGACCCCGUGAAGUC